GGUCCUAGCGCACGCCGGUUUCGCGCACUGCGCUGCUCGGGGAGCAUCCAGCCCCAACCAGGAAACCGCCGGGAAGGGGACCCUGGAGCCCACCGUUCUGGGUUCCCAGGCCGCGCAGCAGCGGCCACGUACUCCUCGCCCCUUCCGCACUCCUGCUGGAUCUGGAAGGAAACAGGAUAAAUUAAUGAGAUGUCCACCAAAGGGCCUGGCAUGGACACAGCACAUGGCCACAGAGGCUGGUGGGCACUAUGGAAUCUUGUCCCCUGGAGAGGCACACAGCCAGGGCAGAACAUCAGGGUCAAGGCACUCCUGUUCUGAAGGCUCUAGUAACAACAGUGCUUAGUAACACCACCAUCAAUGACCGUCAGGUAUCAGGAAACCAUUUGGCACCUCCUCUGGAAAGAGGGCAUGGCCGGGCCCUUGAGAUCUGGCUGUUGAGGCAGAGCUAGUGCACGUGACCCACGCGGUGAG